rnacentral:lncRNA from 1 species
CUUCCUCUUUGUUGACUACAUGGUACCCCCCAGCCUCCUAAGAAGUGGAAAAACAAGGAAUAAUCCUCCUCAAGUCAGGUGGAGUGUGAAGAAACCUGAUCAUUCUAAGCAUUCACCAACAUCAUCAUACAAAUGGAAGAAUCAAUCAUUGGAGGUUACAGAGCUUUAAAUACAUUGCCUUGUAGUCUCCUCAUUUUAUGGAUGACGAAAUGGAAGUGUGAGAAAAGGGACUAUGUGUUUGCAAGUUCUUCUAGGGAUUCAGAAAACAUCUUCUCUAGAAAUGUAUCCUUUGGACUCAUGAACCCAUAGGCUCACCAGAUGCUGUCAAGAGUCUGUAAAACCAAACUUUUGACUUUGAGUACAUCUUUUUCUCUCUUGAAAAAAAUACAUGUAAACUUCUAAAUAGAUAAUGAAAAUAAAACUUUUGUUUUCCAUGAAUGUUAUGUACCU